CAAAGGAGCGAUCCGGUGGCGGAUGGGCAUGCGGCGCAUUAGCUAGACGGCGGGGUGACGGCCCACCGUGGCGACGAUGCGUAGGGGUUCUGAGAGGAAGGCCCCCCACACUGGGACUGAGACACGGCCCAGACUCCUACGGGAGGCAGCAGUGAGGAAUAUUGGUCAAUGGGCGGAAGCCUGAACCAGCCAAGUCGCGUGAGGGAUUAAGGCCCUGCGGGUCGUAAACCUCUUUUGCCGGGGAGCAGUGGUCCGGACGCGUCCGGGCCGGGAGAGUACCCGGAGAAAAAGCAUCGGCUAACUCCGUGCCAGCAGCCGCGGUAAUACGGAGGAUGCGAGUGUUAUCCGGAUUUAUUGGGUUUAAAGGGUGCGUAGGCGGGCAUUUAAGCCGGCGGUCAAAUGUCGGGGCUCAACCCCGGCCUGCCGUCGGAACUGGGUGCCUUGAGUGGGCGAGAAGUAUGCGGAAUGCGUGGUGUAGCGGUGAAAUGCAUAGAUAUCACGCAGAACCCCGAUUGCGAAGGCAGCAUACCGGCGCCCGACUGACGCUGAGGCACGAAAGUGCGGGUAUCGAACAGGAUUAGAUACCCUGGUAGUCCGCACAGUAAACGAUGGAUGCUAUCUGUCCGGGCCGAAUGAGGCCUGG
rnacentral:rRNA from 1 species